rnacentral:rRNA from 1 species
UCUGAAUCUGCGUACGGCUCCGCACACCAGUUGCAAACUAUAGCAAGCCCGCUUGCCGUACCUGCCGCAAGGUAAGGGCGGUAGGCAGAUGGAUAACCCUGGUAAUUCUGCGGCUAAUACAAGAAUGCAAAACCUCACUAACUGGGCAACCGGAAGGUGGGGGGACGUGCUCUUCAAGUUGCAAGUAUAACCGGGAAAGGGGGCACGUCACGACCGCGCUAAAAAGGAAGGUUGCUCUUCGGGGCUUCCCUCUAGCGGCUCUUGCUGUGUACUUCUGACCUAUCAACUAGAUGGCAGCGUAAGGGACAUGCUAUGGU